rnacentral:rRNA from 1 species
UGGUGGAUGCCUUGGCGUCAAGAGGCGAUGAAGGACGUGGCACUCUGCGAUAAGCUUCGGGGAGGGGAGAGCACCCUUUGAUCCGGAGAUCUCCGAAUGGGGCAACCCACCGCUAUAGCGGUAUCGCAUGCUGAAUACAUAGGCAUGCGAGGCAAACCCGGCGAAGUGAAACAUCUCAGUAGCCGGAGGAAAGGACAUCAACCGAGACUCCGUUAGUAGUGGCGAGCGAACGCGGACCAGGCCAGUGGCUGGAUUGUAAGAACCGGAACCUUCUGGAAAGUAGGGCCAUAGCGGGUGAUAGCCCCGUACGGGUAGAAAGCAGUUCAGUCCUCGAGUAGGGCGGGACACGUGAAAUCCUGUCUGAAAUUGGGGGGACCACCCUCCAAGCCUAAGUACUCCUUGACGACCGAUAGUGAACCAGUACCGUGAGGGAAAGGUGAAAAGCACCCCGACGAGGGGAGUGAAAGAGACCUGAAACCGGAUGCUUACAAGCAGUGGGAGCCUCCUUGAGGGGUGACCGCGUACCUUUUGUAUAAUGGGUCAGCGAGUUGAUUUUGCGAGCAAGCUUAAGCCGUUAGGUGUAGGCGGAGCGAAAGCGAGUGUUAAUAGCGCGAUGUAGUUCGUAGGAUCAGACCCGAAACCCGGUGAUCUAGCCAUGAGCAGGUUGAAGGCGGGGUAACACCCGCUGGAGGACCGAACCCACCUAUGUUGAAAAAUGGGGGGAUGACUUGUGGUUAGGGGUGAAAGGCCAAUCAAACCGGGUAAUAGCUGGUUCUCCGCGAAAACUAUUUAGGUAGUGCGUCACGUAUUACCGCCGGGGGUAGAGCACUGGAUGGGCUAGGGGUCCCCACAGGAUUACCAAACCUAACCAAACUCCGAAUACCGGUGAGUAGAGCGUGGCAGACAGACUGUGGGUGCUAAGGUCCAUGGUCGAAAGGGAAACAGCCCAGACCGCCAGCUAAGGUCCCUAAGUCAUGGCUAAGUGGGAAAGGAUGUGGGAAGGCCAAGACAACC